rnacentral:rRNA from 1 species
GAUGAACGCUGGCGGCGUGCCUAACACAUGCAAGUCGAGCGAUUCUCUUCGGAGAAGAGCGGCGGACGGGUGAGUAACGCGUGGGUAACCUGCCCUGUACACACGGAUAACAUACCGAAAGGUAUGCUAAUACGGGAUAAUAUAAGAAAUUCGCAUGUUUUUCUUAUCAAAGCUCCGGCGGUACAGGAUGGACCCGCGUCUGAUUAGCUAGUUGGUGAGGUAACGGCUCACCAAGGCGACGAUCAGUAGCCGACCUGAGAGGGUGAUCGGCCACAUUGGAACUGAGACACGGUCCAAACUCCUACGGGAGGCAGCAGUGGGGAAUAUUGCACAAUGGGCGAAAGCCUGAUGCAGCAACGCCGCGUGAGCGAUGAAGGCCUUCGGUCGUAAGCUCUGUCCUCAAGGAAGAUAAUGACGGUACUUGAGGAGGAAGCCCCGGCUAACUACGUGCCAGCAGCCGCGGUAAACGUAGCGUG